rnacentral:rRNA from 1 species
UCGGGGAAUUUUGGGCAAUGGGCGAAAGCCUGACCCAGCAACGCCGCGUGAAGGAUGAAGUAUUUCGGUAUGUAAACUUCGAAAGAAUAGGAAGAAUAAAUGACGGUACUAUUUAUAAGGUCCGGCUAACUACGUGCCAGCAGCCGCGGUAAUACGUAGGGACCAAGCGUUGUUCGGAUUUACUGGGCGUAAAGGGCGCGUAGGCGGCAAUUCAAGUCAUCUGUGAAAUCUCCGGGCUUAACUCGGAACGGUCAGAUGAUACUGCUUUGCUAGAGUGCAGAAGGGGCAAUCGGAAUUCUUGGUGUAGCGGUGAAAUGCGUAGAUAUCUGAAGGAACACCAGUGGCGAAGGCGACUCCCUGGACUCAAACUGACGCUGAGGCACGAAAGCGUGGGUAGCAAACAGGAUUAGAUACCCAAGUAGUCCCUGAGCGGGCUGGCAAGGCGCAU